GACGAACGCUGGCGGCGUGCCUAAUACAUGCAAGUAGAACGCACAGUUUAUACCGUAGCUUGCUACACCAUAGACUGUGAGUUGCGAACGGGUGAGUAACGCGUAGGUAACCUGCCUGGUAGCGGGGGAUAACUAUUGGAAACGAUAGCUAAUACCGCAUAAUAUUCAUUAUUGCAUGAUAAUUAAUUGCAAGGUGCACUUGCACCACUACCAGAUGGACCUGCGUUGUAUUAGCUAGUAGGUGAGGUAACGGCUCACCUAGGCGACGAUACAUAGCCGACCUGAGAGGGUGAUCGGCCACACUGGGACUGAGACACGGCCCAGACUCCUACGGGAGGCAGCAGUAGGGAAUCUUCGGCAAUGGACGAAAGUCUGACCGAGCAACGCCGCGUGAGUGAAGAAGGUUUUCGGAUCGUAAAGCUCGGUUGUAAGAGAAGAACGGGUGUGAGAGUGGAAAGUUCACACUGUGACGGUAUCUUACCAGAAAGGGACGGCUAACUACGUG
rnacentral:rRNA from 1 species